AGGAACGCGAAGAACCUUACCAGGUCUUGACAUCUUUUGAUCACCUGAGAGAUCAGGCUUCCCCUUCGGGGGCAAAAUGACAGGUGGUGCAUGGUUGUCGUCAGCUCGUGUCGUGAGAUGUUGGGUUAAGUCCCGCAACGAGCGCAACCCUUAUGACUAGUUGCCAGCAUUUAGUUGGGCACUCUAGUAAGACUGCCGGUGACAAACCGGAGGAAGGUGGGGAUGACGUCAAAUCAUCAUGCCCCUUAUGACCUGGGCUACACACGUGCUACAAUGGAUGGUACAACGAGUUGCGAGACCGCGAGGUCAAGCUAAUCUCUUAAAGCCAUUCUCCAGUUCGGACUGUAGGCUGCAACUCGCCUACACGAAGUCGGAAUCGCUAGUAAUCGCGGAUCAACACGCCGCGGUGAAUACGUUCCCGGGGUCUUG
rnacentral:rRNA from 1 species